rnacentral:sRNA from 1 species
AGCGAGCCAGGGACCAUCGAUGAAGUUGACCAUGACAAUGGCACUGAGCCUCAUACCAGCGAUGAAGAAGUGGAGCAGAUCGAGGCUAUCGCCAAGUUUGACUACAUGGGGCGGUCCCCGCGUGAGCUAUCCUUCAAGAAGGGGGCCUCACUGCUCCUGUACCACCGCGCCUCGGAGGACUGGUGGGAGGGCCGGCACAACGGCGUGGAUGGACUCAUCCCCCAUCAGUACAUAGUUGUGCAGGACAUAAACGGUGUUGGGUGCCUCUGGCCUACAUCCUGAUGCAGCUGACAGCCCCCGGGGCGUCCCAUCACCCACCAGGGCUCUCAGUAUCCAGGGGAUCCUGCCAUGUGCCUCCACCUCCUAGGCCUCCCCUGUCUACCGUUCUAUACUCCAGAGGUAGCUCUCUUAGGGGAUGGGCA